rnacentral:rRNA from 1 species
AAACCAGAUAUGACUUAGUGGCGGACGGGUGAGUAACACGUGAGCAACCUGCCUUUCAGAGGGGGAUAACGGCUGGAAACGGUCGCUAAUACCGCAUGACGUGUUCGGAUGGCAUCAUCUGAACAUCAAAGAUUUAUCGCUGAAAGAUGGCCUCGCGUCUGAUUAGCUGGUUGGUGAGGUAACGGCCCACCAAGGCGACGAUCAGUAGCCGGACUGAGAGGUCGAACGGCCACAUUGGGACUGAGACACGGCCCAGACUCC